AUUGAACGCUGGCGGCAUGCCUUACACAUGCAAGUCGAACGGUAACGCGGGGCAACCUGGCGACGAGUGGCGAACGGGUGAGUAAUAUAUCGGAACGUGCCCAGUAGUGGGGGAUAGCCCGGCGAAAGCCGGAUUAAUACCGCAUGAGACCUGAGGGUGAAAGCGGGGGAUCGCAAGACCUCGCGCUAUUGGAGCGGCCGAUAUCAGAUUAGGUAGUUGGUGGGGUAAAGGCCUACCAAGCCGACGAUCUGUAGCUGGUCUGAGAGGACGACCAGCCACACUGGGACUGAGACACGGCCCAGACUCCUACGGGAGGCAGCAGUGGGGGAAUUUUUGGACAAUGGGCGCAAGCCUGAUCCAGCCAUGCCGCGUGCGGGAAGAAGGCC
rnacentral:rRNA from 1 species